rnacentral:rRNA from 1 species
GACGGAGGAUGCAAGCGUUAUCCGGAAUAAUUGGGCGUAAAGCGUCCGCAGGUGGCAGUUCAAGUCUGCUGUCAAAGACCGGGGCUUAACUUCGGAAAGGCAGUGGAAACUGAACAGCUAGAGUAUGGUAGGGGCUGAGGGAAUUCCUGGUGUAGCGGUGAAAUGCGUAGAGAUCAGGAAGAACAUCGGUGGCGAAGGCGCUCUGCUGGACCAUAACUGACACUCAGGGACGAAAGCUAGGGGAGCGAAUGGG